AUACUUACCUGGCAGGGGAGAUACCAUGAUCAUGAAGGUGGUUUUCCCAGGGCGAGGCUCACCUAUUGCACUCCGGGUGUGCUGACCCCUGCGAUUUCCCCAAAUGUGGGAAACUCGACUGCAUAAUUUGUGGUAGUGGGGGAUUA
rnacentral:snRNA from 1 species